CGGGGUGUAGCGCAGUCCGGUAGCGCUCCUGGUUUGGGACCAGGAGGUCGCAGGUUCGAAUCCUGUCGCCCCGA
rnacentral:tRNA from 3 species